GCUUUCCCCGUGGCUCAGUCAGUAGAACUUUGCGCUAAUAAUGCCAAGGUUGUGGUUUCAAACCCCAGGGAAAGCA